rnacentral:lncRNA from 1 species
UGGUAUAUUCGGAAUUUUAAAUGCAAGUUGCAUAGUGUCUCAAUAGCAACUACGCAAAGACUGAGUAGAAACCAGAGUUGCACAUGGUGCCGGAUUUCACUCUUUUCAUCACCUGCACUUUGAUUCCUCUUGUCUUCAACAUGCUGCCAAACAACAGGGAAUCUAGCUUAUGCCCUAGUCUACAACUUAGGAUCUCCACCAUUCACUCUCAGAUUUGCGGCUCAACCAACCUUUUUCAUUCACAAAUAUAAAAACAUAAAACAAAAGCUAAUGGCCCGAUUUGACUUUUGAGUUUGAAGAUGUUUGACUCACUCUAAAAUCGACACCAGAG